ACUGGAUCACCAAGUUGUACAAGAAUCAAGGGCAUACUUUCACACUUAACCACAAGAACAGCUCAGCCUUAAGAUCUUUUUACCUCCUGAGGGGUUUAGAAAACAUAUACAAUGAUGGGGUGACUGUACAAUAAUCAUGACCAGACAUCCGGGCUGAUGUUCCUUCUCCCAGGCCCACUGAAGCCAGGUGACAUUCCCCCAGCUCCUGCCCAGAGUUUGUGAAAGGCUUCUCGCUCAGCAUCACACUUGAGAUCAUCAUAAAGUUUGUUCAGCAGCACCGACACGCUCAUCCGACCACUGUCC